rnacentral:rRNA from 1 species
AGUGAACGCUGGCAGUAGGCCUAACACAUGCAAGUCGAACGGCAGCACAGAGGAGCUUGCUCCUUGGGUGGCGAGUGGCGGACGGGUGAGGAAUACAUCGGAAUCUACUCUGUCGUGGGGGAUAACGUAGGGAAACUUACGCUAAUACCGCAUACGACCUACGGGUGAAAGCAGGGGACCUUCGGGCCUUGCGCGAUUGAAUGAGCAGAUGUCGGAUUAGCUAGUUGGCGGGGUAACGGCCCACCAAGGCGACGAUCGGUAGCUGGUCUGAGAGGAUGAUCAGCCACACUGGAACUGAGACACGGUCCAGACUCCUACGGGAGGCAGCAGUGGGGAAUAUUGGACAAUGGGCGCAAGCCUGAUCCAGCCAUACCGCGUGGGUGAAGAAGGCCUUCGGGUUGUAAAGCCCUUUUGUUGGGAAAGAAAUCCAGCUGGCUAAUACCCGGUUGGGAUGACGGUACCCAAAGAAUAAGCACCGGCUAACUUCGUGCCAGCCGCCGCCGUAA